AGUCCUUCCCACUAGAGGCCAGGGUCUCCAGUGGGUGGGUUUGUUCAGCUCAAACACUGUGGAGGCAGAGAAGAGGCUCAAAGAAUGGCAGCAGAGUCACUGAGAGUAACCACUUCAUCUCUCUGCCAUCUCAAUGAAUCACAGAGGAGACCAACCCCACUCUCUCCGGUUCGCUUCAUGGGUUUUCGCCCUCGACCCUCUCACUCUCUCUGUUCAUCUUCUCUUUUGCACUUCUUGGGGAGUUCUCGAAUCAACCACAAUUCUUCCAAUUCACGCCACCUUGCUCCAAGAAGAAGAAACCAUUCUGUUUUCGCCUCCCAUGUCGAAAGCCACACAACCUUUCACUUAGAGCGGUGUUUUGCAGCGCCGUCCGCCUCUUCCACUUCGAUGAAGGGCCAGUACGGUGCCUUCGGUGCCGUUACCUUGGAGAAAUCAAAGCUUGAUUUAACGCAAAAGCAAACCCAAUCCUCCCCCAAGCUAGAUGUUGGGGGAGGUGGUGGAGAUAUUGGAAAAAAAAUCAACCAUGGUGGUGGUGAUGGAGGUGAUGAUGAUGGUGAUGAUGAUGAUUACUUUGAUGACUUUGAUGAUGGUGAUGAGGGAGAUGAGGGUGGCUUGUUUAGGAUACGGAUACUUCUUGAAGAGUUAUUUGACCGAAAAUUUGUGGAUGCUGUGUUAAAUGAAUGGCAAAGGACUAUGAUGGAUUUGCCUGCUGGGUUUCGGCAAGCUUAUGAAAUGGGGUUGGUUAGCUCAGCUCAAAUGGUAAAAUUUCUAGCAAUCAAUGCUAGGCCAACCACCAGUAGGUUUAUUUCCCGAAAACUUCCUCAAGCACCAUCGAGGGCUUUCAUAGGAAGGUUGCUUGCAGAUCCUGCAUUCUUGUAUAGGUUUCUAUUAGAGGAGGUUGCAACAAUAGGAUGCUCAGUGUGGUGGGAGUUUAAAAAUCGAAAAGAUAGGAUAAAGCAGGAGUGGGAUCUUGCACUUAUCAAUGUGCUCACAGCAGCAACAUGCAAUGCAGUAGUUGUUUGGUCCCUUGCACCUUGUCGAUCAUAUGGGAACACUUUUCGGUUUGAUUUACAAAAUACAUUGCAGAAGCUUCCUAACAACAUAUUUGAAAAGAGCUAUCCACUUAGGGAAUUUGACUUGCAAAAGAGAAUUCAGUGCUUUUUGUUCAAGGCUGCUGAGUUGUGCAUGGUUGGUUUGAGUGCUGGUGCAGUACAGGGUACAUUGUCAAACACUUUGGCAAGGAAAAAGGAAGGAAGGAGUUCUUAAUACUAAUUUUUUUUCUUUACAUAUGUCAUGCCUGAAUCAUCUGCAGAUUAUCUGUGACAGUCCCAAGUGUAAGCAGCAAUGCACUUGGUUACGGUGCUUUCCUUGGAAUUUAUGCUAACCUGAGAUAUCAACUGUUAUGUGGAUUUGAUAGCGCGAUGAUGAGCCAUUUUGAUGUUAUUGGAGUUGCAUUGUUCUUUAGCACAGCAUUCAGGGCCUUGAACGUUCAAUUAGGAGAAACUUCUAAGCGUGCCUGGCUCGGAGUUGAGGCAGAUCCGCUGGCUCAGUCGGAUGACCUCUUGAAAGCUUACAACAGGACUUCUGAGAAUAUAGAAAAGCCGUCCUCAAAAUGGUUUAUAUCAAAAAAUGCAGUUGUUUCUGGGCUUGGGCUCCUGGGCAUCAAACAAGGGAAUGCAGAUGGGGCUGGCGCAGAAUCUACACCUAAAGCUCGGCGAAAAAGGGUUGUUCGGAAGAAGGUUGCUGCAGGUUCAGCUUAGUUUCUUCUGAUGUAAAUGCAGUCAUCCAAUUUUGCUGUUUGCUAGAGUUUGCUACUACUGGAGUGUCCUUGGCGGUUACUGGCUGCUCCCCACUUUAGUGGACCAAGAUUUUUCUUCACAUUAACUAAAAUUUGAGGAGGGUUAUGUUUUUAAAUUCUUUUUAGGGAUUCUUGUAUCGAUCCUUUGUGUUUUGCUACCUGAAUCUGUACUAUAUAUUUUUAAUUUUUCAAAUAAAGUAGAGCAAGUAUUUUUUCUUCCCUUGAUCCAAACACCUGACGUCCUUGUAACUUCAAUGCAGACUAAAAAAUGUAGUUCACAUACUCCUCUCCAGUCAAUGAUCUUCAAGUCAUAGAUCAUGUAAUGUCCCCAGCUUAUGUUCCGGAGACUCCUAAUCAUAUUGAUUAUAAAAUUCAACUUAUGAUUUU